rnacentral:lncRNA from 1 species
UGGAGGACUGCUCCUACUAGGGAGUGCCAAUGCAUCCCUGACCCCUUGAACACAAUGCGACUUUUGUGCGUCUAGACAUGUCUUUUCAAUGGAUUCUUCAAUCUCCAAUGCGAUUCUGAUAGCAUAAGUCACAUGUAAGGGUCAAGUGUAGACACAGCCAUAGACUUGCAUGUUUUUUCAAAAAGGAACGACAACUUUUUGGAAGUGUUGAGAAACUUGUUGGAAAGUGUUGGGGAAAUUCCUUAUCAACGUUUUGUUGUAAUAAGGUUAAUUGAGACGGAAUCAGCCUUUUCAUAACGAGCUGCCAUCUGAUUGGUCCUCACUAAUUAGGCCUAAUUCAUUGCUCUGCAGUUGAUUUUACCUGCGUGUUGGCCUCUAUGCGCAUGUGCGCGUAAGCAUCAAUCUGGCGAUGUCUUCCGAACAGAAGAGAAACAUAGUUGUGUUUUUAUGUAUAACUGUAGCUUUUUCUAACUUGAUGUUCUGUGGUGCGUUGAGUGUAGAAAAGUUUAAUGUUCUCGAUGGUUUUAAUGCGGAUCAUGAAAAGGCGUCAAAUGCUGACAGAGAGCCGAGGAUCAGCACAAAACAAGACGCCAAGCACAAAUCUGAGUACCUGGGCGGACUGGCCAUUCUUCGGCGCAAUCUUCGACCUACUGUUAAUAAUUUCAGCAUUCAUGAACAGAGUGCAGAGUCCAUUGACGUUCCUGAGAACUCCAUAAAUAAUUCGAGUCAACCCAACAUUGAUCUAAAGUCAACUGAUUUGCGGGGGCCUUUGAAUGUCCAGAAAAGAUCUCUGGAUUACAAUGCUGGACAUCAGGCAGUCUUCAAAGGUUUUGAAGGCCACGGUUUUCAAGGGAAGGUCUAUGGUCCAUCAGCUGAGCACAACCCCCACUCCAGUGAAUGGCUGUCGAUGAGGCCUCUGGUCCAGUGUAAUGACAACCUCAUGAUGCUCACUGCAUCUGGACGAGGAUACACACAUCUACUGGUGGAUAGAGCGGGCGCCUCUCCCAUCUCCCUGUUCCAGCUGCCGCCGUCCUGUGGUUACCAUGUGAAGACUACCUGAGAGAGAUGGUGAUGAUGGCACCAUACGAUGGAUGCUACAUCAUGCAGGAGCAUGGUAGUUAUGUCCUGCCCAUGCUGUGGUGGGGCAGCCCUGUGAAGAUCAUCUGCCCUGUCCCCCCAAUCUCUGUCCCCUCAGUACUCUGCUCCCACUUUGGCAUGGCCAUCCAGAUGCAUGGAGGGGAGGAGGUCAUACACACACUACAGGUCAUAGAGAACGGCGAGUGGGUGCCGUUUGUGUCUGAAGAGUGUGCCUACCAAGUGGAGUCCCACUCAGGAGACCUCAUCUUUUAUGUUCCCUUUACAGCCCCAUGUGUGACCGUCGGAAAUGGAGUUCAUCGACUGGUCCUAUUGGACGGCCAGGACUUCAUCCUCUCCUGCCCCUCACACCACCCUCCUCCAUUUCCCUUCUUUCCCUCUCCUCCAUUUUCUCAACCCUUCUCUCCUGGUGACCCGCAGCAGCAGAUACCUGUCCCUGUGACUUUUGCUCCCUCCACCAGCCCUCCCCUUACCUCUCCUCCCAUCACCCCUUAUACUCAACCCCCAGCCCAGGAACAGAUGCCCCAACUUCCUGCGUUCCCCCACUACCGCCCUCAUGGCAUGUAUCACCAAAUUCCCCAUUUCCCUUACGGUGGAGCUGGUUAUCACCCUCCCCUCCACCCUGGUCACAAUCCAUACCCUGGCUCCCAUCAGCUUCUCCCAGGGAGAUACCCAGGCCAGCAGCCCUUCUUCCCCAUGGGGCCUGGGAAUCACCCCUACGGCUCUGGAGACCACCGUGACUCCUUUUUACCUCUCCCCGCCCCUACCCACGAUCCCAUGCUCAGGCUAUUAUAAUGGAAUCACCCCUGGUGUCCACCGUCCUGUUGUCUAUCCUACUCCUCUUACAGCUAUCCGACCACCGCCUCCCGCCGCUUAUACCAAACCUUCUCCUCCCGCCGCUUAUACCAAACCUUCUCCUCCGCCGCUUAUACCAAACCUUCUCCUCCCGCCGCUUAUACCAAACCUUCUCCUCCCGCCGCUUAUACCAAAC